rnacentral:rRNA from 1 species
UAUCGUUUAUUUGAYAGAAGCCUACUUACUUGGAUAACCGUGGUAAUUCUAGAGCUAAUACAUGCUAAAAACCUCGACUUCGGAAGGGGUGUAUUUAUUAGAUAAAAAACCAAUGCCCUCCGGGGCUCCCUGGUNAUUCAUAAUAACUAAACGAAUCGCAUGGCCUUGCGCCGGCGAUGGUUCAUUCAAAUUUCUGCCCUAUCAACUUUCGAUGGUAGGAUAGUGGCCUACCAUGGUGGCAACGGGUAACGGGGAAUUAGGGUUCUAUUCCGGAGAGGGAGCCUGAGAAACGGCUACCACAUCCAAGGAAGGCAGCNGGCGCGCAAAUUACCCAAUCCCGACACGGGGAGGUAGUGACAAUAAAUACUGAUGUGGAGCUCUUUAGGGUUUCACAAUUGGAAUGAGAAAAAUCUAAACCACUUAAACGAGGAACAAUUGGAGGGCAAGUCUGGUGCCAGCAGCCGCGGUAAUUCCAGCUCCAAUAGCGUAUAUUAAAGUUGUUGCAGUUAAAAAGCUCGUAGUUGAACCUUGGGCCUGGCCGGCCGGUCCGCCUCACCGCGUGCACUGGUUCGGCCGGGCCUUUCCUCCUGGGGAACCGCAUGCCCUUCACUGGGUGUGCCGGGGAAUCAGGACUUUUACUUUGAAAAAAUUAGAGUGUUCAAAGCAGGCAUUUGCUCGAAUACAUUAGCAUGGAAUAAUAGAAUAGGACGUUGUGGUUCUAUUUUGUUGGUUUCUAGGACCGCCGUAAUGAUUAAUAGGGAACG